CGUAACCGAACCGAAUACCCGAAUGCCCAGGGCCAGUGUUACUCGUGUCAUCAUUCAGAUUCAAUCGAUCUACCCAAGUCGACAUAGCCACUGUAAAGAUAAAAAUUAUACGUAUAUGUUAAGAUGCAUAGCCACGUUACAACAAAUUCUAUUACUUGCUAUUAAUGUUUUUAGUUUAUUUAAUGUGCACCAUUCAUCCGUUAAGUCGACGUAGCCAAUGUAGCCAUUGACCACAUGCACGUAGCCAUGUAGGACACAUACUAUCUCAACACCCCAACAUUAAUUAAGCUUUAGCUUUCUAUUGUCCAAAUGCUUAACUAAUCGGUUUGCCAAAACAAUGUCCUUGUAGGUCACACACACUACUCAUGAAAUACAAGUUGUUAUUAUUAAAAACUUUCUAACUUAGCCAAUAUAUAUAAACCCACAUUUCCCUCUAGCUCACAAACCAAACUCAAACCUUCUCUCAUCAAACAAGAUCAAGUUAACUUUACCUAAGCCAUUAAUUCAGAGCUCUUUUCUUUGUUUCUAGCUAAUACUAGAUAUGGCAUUCUUGAGGAGUCUUUUUGAUACUAAGCAAAUAAUUCGUCAGUCUCUUACUACUGAAUCAUCAACACCGAAAGGUUUCUUAGCUGUCUACGUUGGAGAAAAUUUGAAGAAGAAGAGAUUUUUUGUUCCGGUUUACUACCUGAGCAAACCAUCUUUCCAAGCUUUGCUGAGGAAAGCAGAAGAAGAGUUUGGCUUUGAUCAUCCAACCGGUGGUUUAAGCUUACCAUGCGAUGAAGCUUUCUUCUUCACUCUUACUUCU
rnacentral:lncRNA from 1 species